GAUGAACGCUGGCGGCGUGCCUAAUACAUGCAAGUCGAGCGAACAGACGAGGAGCUUGCUCCUCUGACGUUAGCGGCGGACGGGUGAGUAACACGUGGAUAACCUACCUAUAAGACUGGGAUAACUUCGGGAAACCGGAGCUAAUACCGGAUAAUAUAUUGAACCGCAUGGUUCAAUAGUGAAAGACGGUUUUGCUGUCACUUAUAGAUGGAUCCGCGCCGCAUUAGCUAGUUGGUAAGGUAACGGCUUACCAAGGCAACGAUGCGUAGCCGACCUGAGAGGGUGAUCGGCCACACUGGAACUGAGACACGGUCCAGACUCCUACGGGAGGCAGCAGUAGGGAAUCUUCCGCAAUGGGCGAAAGCCUGACGGAGCAACGCCGCGUGAGUGAUGAAGGUCUUCGGAUCGUAAAACUCUGUUAUUAGGGAAGAAGAAAUGUGUAAGUAACUAUGCACGUCUUGACGGUACCUAAUCAGAAAGCCACGGCUAACUACGUG
rnacentral:rRNA from 1 species